GAUGAACGCUAGCUACAGGCUUAACACAUGCAAGUCGAGGGGUAGCAGGGUAGCAAUACCGCUGACGACCGGCGCACGGGUGAGUAACACGUAUCCAACCUUCCCAUAACUCGGGGAUAGCCUUUCGAAAGAAAGAUUAAUACCCGAUAGUACUUUAUUAAGGCAUCUUAAGAAAGUUAAAGAUUUAUUGGUUAUGGAUGGGGAUGCGUUCCAUUAGAUAGUUGGUGAGGUAACGGCUCACCAAGUCUUCGAUGGAUAGGGGUUCUGAGAGGAAGGUCCCCCACAUUGGUACUGAGACACGGACCAAACUCCUACGGGAGGCAGCAGUGAGGAAUAUUGGUCAAUGGGCGAGAGCCUGAGCCAGCCAAGUAGCGUGAAGGAUGAAGGUCCUAUGGAUUGUAAACUUCUUUUAUAGUAGAAUAAAGUGAACCACGUGUGGUUUUUUGUAUGUAUACUAUGAAUAAGGAUCGGCUAACUCCGUGCCAGCAGCCGCCGUAA
rnacentral:rRNA from 1 species